rnacentral:rRNA from 1 species
GUGCCAGCAGCUGCGGUAAUACGGAGGGUGCAAGCGUUAAUCGGAAUUACUGGGCGUAAAGCGCACGCAGGCGGUUGAUUAAGUUAGAUGUGAAAUCCCCGGGCUUAACCUGGGAAUGGCAUCUAAGACUGGUCAGCUAGAGUCUUGUAGAGGGGGUAGAAUUCCAUGUGUAGCGGUGAAAUGCGUAGAGAUGUGGAGGAAUACCGGUGGCGAAGGCGGCCCCCUGGACAAAGACUGACGCUCAGGUGCGAAAGCGUGGGAGCAAACAGGAUUAGAUACCCUGGUAGUCCACGCUGUAAACG